rnacentral:rRNA from 1 species
UACGAGGGGUCCAAGCGUUGUUCGGAAUCACUGGGCGUAAAGCGGGUGUAGGCGGCUACGCAAGUUGGGUGUGAAAGCCCCGGGCUCAACCCGGGAAGUGCAUUCAAAACUAUGUAGCUUGAGUACGAGAGAGGAAGGUAGAAUUCCAGGUGUAGUGGUGAAAUACGUAGAUAUCUGGAGGAACACCGGUGGCGAAGGCGGCCUUCUGGCUCAGUACUGACGCUCAGACCCGAAAGCGUGGGUAGCAAACAGG